GAGUAAUGUCUGGGAAACUGCCUGAUGGAGGGGGAUAACUACUGGAAACGGUAGCUAAUACCGCAUAACGUCGCAAGACCAAAGAGGGGGACCUUCGGGCCUCUUGCCAUCGGAUGUGCCCAGAUGGGAUUAGCUAGUAGGUGGGGUAACGGCUCACCUAGGCGACGAUCCCUAGCUGGUCUGAGAGGAUGACCAGCCACACUGGAACUGAGACACGGUCCAGACUCCUACGGGAGGCAGCAGUGGGGAAUAUUGCACAAUGGGCGCAAGCCUGAUGCAGCCAUGCCGCGUGUAUGAAGAAGGCCUUCGGGUUGUAAAGUACUUUCAGCGGGGAGGAAGGGAGUAAAGUUAAUACCUUUGCUCAUUGACGUUACCCGCAGAAGAAGCACCGGCUAACUCCGUGCCAGCAGCCGCGGUAAUACGGAGGGUGCAAGCGUUAAUCGGAAUUACUGGGCGUAAAGCGCACGCAGGCGGUUUGUUAAGUCAGAUGUGAAAUCCCCGGGCUCAACCUGGGAACUGCAUCUGAUACUGGCAAGCUUGAGUCUCGUAGAGGGGGGUAGAAUUCCAGGUGUAGCGGUGAAAUGCGUAGAGAUCUGGAGGAAUACCGGUGGCGAAGGCGGCCCCCUGGACGAAGACUGAC
rnacentral:rRNA from 1 species